rnacentral:rRNA from 1 species
AACGAACGCUGGCGGCAUGCCUAACACAUGCAAGUCGAACGAAGCCUUCGGGCUUAGUGGCGCACGGGUGCGUAACGCGUGGGAAUCUGCCCCUUGCUUCGGAAUAACAGUUAGAAAUGACUGCUAAUACCGGAUGAAGUCUUCGUACCAAAGAUUUAUCGGCAAGGGAUGAGCCCGCGUAGGAUUAGGUAGUUGGUGGGGUAAAGGCCUACCAAGCCGACGAUCCUUAGCUGGUCUGAGAGGAUGAUCAGCCACACUGGGACUGAGACACGGCCCAGACUCCUACGGGAGGGGGGAGUGGGGAAUAUUGGACAAUGGAGGCAAGGCUGAUCCAGCAAUGCCGCGUGAGUGAUGAAGGCCUUAGGGUUGUAAAGAUCUUUUACAAGGGAUGAUAAUGACAGUACCUGGAGAAUAAGCUCCGGCUAACUCCGUG